CCUACGGGUGGCAGCAGUGAGGAAUAUUGGUCAAUGGGCGAGAGCCUGAACCAGCCAAGUCGCGUGAGGGAGUACUGCCCUAUGGGUUGUAAACUUCUUUUGUCGGGGAGCAAAAGCCGGACGUGUUCGGCUGUUAGAGUACCCGAAGAAAAAGCAUCGGCUAACUUCGUGCCAGCAGCCGCGGUAAUACUGAGGAUGCGAGCGUUUUCCGGAUUUAUUGGGUUUAAAGGGUGCGCAGGCGGAUUUUUAAGUCAGCGGUAAAAACGUGGGGCUCAACCCCCUCCAGCCGUUGAAACUGGGGAUCUAGAGUGUGCGAGAGGUAUGCGGAAUGCGUGGUGUAGCGGUGAAAUGCAUAGAUAUCACGCAGAACCCCGAUUGCGAAGGCAGCAUACCGGUGCACAACUGACGCUCAGGCACGAAAGCGUGGGUAUCGAACAGGAUUAGAUACCCCUGUAGUC
rnacentral:rRNA from 1 species